rnacentral:rRNA from 1 species
GAUGAACGCUGGCGGCGUGCCUAAUACAUGCAAGUCGAGCGAACGGACGAGAAGCUUGCUUCUCUGAUGUUAGCGGCGGACGGGUGAGUAACACGUGGAUAACCUACCUAUAAGACUGGGAUAACUUCGGGAAACCGGAGCUAAUACCGGAUAAUAUUUUGAACCGCAUGGUUCAAAAGUGAAAGACGGUCUUGCUGUCACUUAUAGAUGGAUCCGCGCUGCAUUAGCUAGUUGGUAAGGUAACGGCUUACCAAGGCAACGAUGCAUAGCCGACCUGAGAGGGUGAUCGGCCACACUGGAACUGAGACACGGUCCAGACUCCUACGGGAGGCAGCAGUAGGGAAUCUUCCGCAAUGGGCGAAAGCCUGACGGAGCAACGCCGCGUGAGUGAUGAAGGUCUUCGGAUCGUAAAACUCUGUUAUUAGGGAAGAACAUAUGUGUAAGUAACUGUGCACAUCUUGACGGUACCUAAUCAGAAAGCCACGGCUAACUACGUGCCAGCAGCCGCGGUAAUACGUAGGUGGCAAGCGUUAUCCGGAAUUAUUGGGCGUAAAGCGCGCGUAGGCGGUUUUUUAAGUCUGAUGUGAAAGCCCACGGCUCAACCGUGGAGGGUCAUUGGAAACUGGAAAACUUGAGUGCAGAAGAGGAAAGUGGAAUUCCAUGUGUAGCGGUGAAAUGCGCAGAGAUAUGGAGGAACACCAGUGGCGAAGGNNACUUUCUGGUCUGUAACUGACGCUGAUGUGCGAAAGCGUGGGGAUCAAACAGG